UACGUAGGGGGCGAGCGUUGUCCGGAAUGACUGGGCGUAAAGGGUGCGUAGGCGGCUUGGCAAGUUAGAAGUGAAAUACCUAGGGCUUAACUCAGGUGCUGCUUUUAAAACUGCUGGGCUGGAGUGCAGGAGAGGUUAAUGGAAUUCCUAGUGUAGCGGUGGAAUGCGUAGAUAUUAGGAAGAACACCGGAGGCGAAGGCGGCUUACUGGACUGCAACUGACACUGAGGCUCGAAAGCGUGGGGAGCAAACAGG
rnacentral:rRNA from 1 species